rnacentral:lncRNA from 1 species
UGUAUUUCAUCUUUUCCUUCCAUUUCCUAAUUUACAAAUAACAAUUCAAAUCUUCAAAAUCCAACUUAAUGCCAUAAACAAGCCAAUGUCAAUUAUUCAAAUGUGGAUUCAAAAACAAAACUUCACAAUACAUUUUUAUACAAGAGAAUCCAAUAUAAAUCCCAGCCCAAUACAACACGGUCCAUAACAUUUGUCCUAUAACUAAUUUAAGCAUUAAUUCCAAUUCCCCUUUUAAUUCCAAUUCAACCCUGAAUUUCCAAGUCCUCA